GUGCUCACUUUGGCAGCACAUACACUAAAAUUGGAAUGAUACAGAGAAGAUUAGCAUGGCCCCUAAGCAAGAAUGACACACAAAUUCGUGAAGUGUUCCAUAUUUUU
ensembl:snRNA U6 U6 spliceosomal RNA